GACGAACGCUGGCGGCGUGCUUAACACAUGCAAGUCGAACGGUGAAGCUCCAUCUUGCUGGAGUGGGUCAGGGGCGAACGGGUGAGUAACAGGUAAGCAACCUGCCCCUGACUCUGGAAUAAGCGCUGCAAACGGCGUCUAAUACUGGAUACGAGAAGGGUCCGCAUGGACAGUUUAUGGAAGGUUUUUCGGUUGGGGAUGGGCCCGCGGCCUAUCAGCUUGUUGGUGAGGUAAUGGCUCACCAAGGCGAGGACGGGUAGCCGGCCUGAGAGGGCGACCGGCCACACUGGGACUGAGACACGGCCCAGACUCGUACGGGAGGCAGCAGUGGGGAAUAUUGCACAAUGGGCGAAAGCCUGAUGCAGCGACGCCGCGUGAGGGAUGACGGCCUUCGGGUUGUAAACCUCUUUCAGCAGGGAAGAAGCGAAAGUGACGGUACCUGAAGAAGAAGCACCGGCUAACUACGUG
rnacentral:rRNA from 1 species